ACUGACGUUGACAAAGUUGCUGCUGCUACUGUUUCUUUUGGCUACAAACUUCUUCAACAAUUAUUGGAGCAUUGUUUGUCUAGAGAGAGACACAUCAGCCAAUAAAUAGCAACAUUAACCAGAAGAUAUUUCCCAAAAGUUAUUUCAGCCAAGAAUAGUCCACUGCUUAAAUGACCACAUCAAUGCACCGACCGUCUGUAUGAUGCUGGAGCAUUUACAACAGCCAUGAAGUAGCUUGAGUUUUAUGACACCAAGUUGCAAAACCGAAUG